UGAAUGUGCAUGACAAUGGUGCCAGCUUUU
rnacentral:piRNA from 1 species